UAUCCGUUACAAUAGACGCUCAACAACAUAAAUAACGAAGCUGCUUAAUUGCUCAGAUAAUCUGCGUAUAUUAUUAGUGAUUAAAUGCUAUAGAGAAAAAAAAUAUUUAGGAUGCCCUUUAAAUUUGCCAUUCCAAUAAAAAACAUAGAUUUGCAGACGCCCGAUAAGAACAGUUAUUGUGUAACUCGCAUCUCUGCACCAUCAGAAUUGCCUGAGCUGUUAAAAUAUGCCAGAUUAGAGUUCCGACAAAAUGGUCCGUCAUACAUAAUUGAUCACUUUGACACAUUUUACUCUGUUAUCGAAGCGAACGAUUGUCCCAUUGGAACAUGUAUAAAAGCUUUCGAUGUACUAUACGAGUCUAUUGACAAGCUAGCUCGUGAAUUAGCUGUGGAAUUGAAAAAAUCAUCCAUUAACGAUGAAGCGCGACUUGAUUUGGCGAAUGUGACAAAAAUGUUAAUUUAUUUGAUGGUAAACAUAGUGAAAUCAGUUGAUUUAUACAUUAACAAUGGUGCUAAUGAUGGAGGGAAAACUUGUAAAAAGCUGAGUUCCGAUUUCGACAGUUACAAUUGGAAUCGAAAACGAAAAGAUGGAUUGGAUUUGAUGUACGUAGUUUCUUGUUUGCCACUUGAAAAUUUAUAUGAUCCACCGGUAAUAGAAGAAGAUUUUGCUAAUUUAAUAUGUGAAAUGUCUUACCGUACCAUCGAGCAGCAGUACGUCAAAGAAAAACGAGUGGCAGAGACUGCUUUUCAAAUCCUUGGAACUGCAAUCAAACGUUACAACCAUGCAAUGGUGUUUCCAGUUAAGAUUUUACAGAUAGUUAGUGACAAAGAUUACUCCAUUCGUCAAAUUGCUGAAUCUUCUUACACCAUUUUAUAUGAUGAAUGUGGAAUUAAUUCGAUUUUUGAUGUAUUAAUCAAAGAGUUAGCCGAACGUUUGAUUGAAGGUGCAAGUGACUCGAAACUAUCUAAACAUUAUAGUCAAUUUUUAUCUGACCUUGGCAAUGUUGCCCCAAAGCUGAUGUUACCUCAUCUUUCUGACUUAGGCGAAGAGCUUUUAAAUCAUGAGCCAUACUCUCUUCGCAAUGCAUUGCUCCAAAUAAUGGGUGAUAUUGUAGCGACUGAUUUAUCUAGUGAAGGCCUAGCAGAAGAAUUAAAGGAAACGCGUGACGAGUUUCUUGACUUUCUGUUCGACCAUAUUCACGAUACUAAUGCUCAUGUUCGUUCAAAAGUUUUGCAAAUUUGGAACCACUUGAAAUCUGAAGGAGCAGUUCCACUUUCUCGAAUUCACCAAGUAUUGGAACGAACAGUUGGUCGUCUUGAAGAUAAGUCUAGUAUGGUACGAAAAAAUGCAACAACACUACUGAAAUCAUUUCUAGAACACAAUCCUUUCUCAUCUCGUUUGACACUUGAACAAUUGCAAGCAAAAUACGAUGAAGCAGAUUUAAAUUUGCAAGACCUACGUAAGAAACAAUCUGAAGUAAUACCGCAACUAGAGAAAUUUGAAGAGGAAUGGGAGAACCUUUCGACUGAUAUUUACACAAUGAUUAUUAAUAACAUAAAAACACAAGUGCCGGAAGUAGAGAAUGAGCAUUUAAAGGACAUCGCAGGACCUGUAGGAGAACUUUUAAAAGACAAAAAAUAUAAGGAAGCAUUGGAAUUGGUUCGUAAAGGCGAUGCUGUGAACGAAGAACAAGUUGAUAAUUUAAAUUUCGAGGACAAAUGUCAGUAUUAUUUGGUUCUUUUGAAGUCCUACUAUGCCAUCGCAAACCGACCAAAUGAUUAUGCUGAUGAAAUUACAAAAGCAGAGGACACUGUCAAAUUCUACUUUGAUUUCAUACAAUACACAACAUUGCUAAAUAGUGCUGUGCCAAAACUCGAAGAAAUGCUCAUGUCUAAAACUAACUCGGAUGUUUUUGAAGCUAUUGAUUUCUUUACAGCAGCUUACCAAUUCGGAAUUAAGGGAUGCGAAAGUGGAAUGCAUAAAAUGAUAUUCUUGGUAUGGUCAGACAAAGAAAAGAGAGAAGCAGUUACCUCAGCCUACAAAAAGGUCUUGUUUACAACAGAUAAAAUUGAUCGAGCACACGCGGCACAAGUUGUGGAGAACCUCUCUCGAUUCAUUGAAAAUUUAACAUACGGUCAUUAUUCCGCAUUUGAGGAAUUAAUGAAAGAGUGGGUAGAAAACGAGAUAAUUGACAAUGUUAUGAUUCAAGUUAUGUUUGAACGUUAUACGAAAAAACUACCUAACACAACUGAAAACGACUCAAGACUAGCUUUGCAAUUGCUUGUAUUAAGUAGUGUAGCGAAUCCUAGAAUUGUGAGAAACAAUCUUGAUUUUUUGAUCAGAAUCGGAAUUGAGGAACGGGGCUUGACAGACCCACGUGUCUUCAUGUCAACACUGGAUUUGUUAAUAAACUCUGUAGAAAAAGAAUAUGAGCGUCCAUCUAAAUAUAACAAAAGAUAUAAGCAUCAAGAUGAUAUUGUUGACAAAAUAAUUUCUAACUUUAAAAGGAUGUUUUUUACAAACAACGACAUUGAUUUCGAUAAUGUUUGUAUCAAAACUUUCAAUUUUAUUUAUAGACUUGUAGAUGGUCCAGACGUUUUUGCCCAAAUGAUUGUGGUACAAAUAUUUGAAAAACUAAAAGUACUAUCUAAAAAACUGGAAAAACGCUUAAAUGAUGCUGAUGACGAAGUAACACACUCUCAAACAGAAAACAAGAUUUCACUAUCUCUACCUACAUCUAUAUUGUCACGUUUUAUCUACAUGAUUGGUUACGUGGCGAUGAAGGAAAUGAUUUAUCUCGACAUUGAUGUAUAUAGCAAUAUCAAAUAUCGAGAAGAACUAAAGAACGAAAUGAAAAGGUCAAAAAGUAAGACCAUUAAUAAAAUACUGAAUCCGCGUCGUGCAACAUUAAACCAAAAUAUGGAUAUGUCAGCAAGUAAUGCUCUGAAAAGAAUUUCUAUUGCACCAAAUCAACAAGAAUCCAUUGAAGAGGAAGAUCUUGUAGGUGCUUCUGCUGACGAUGCAAUUGCAGAACAAAUUACAUUCAUUUGCGAAACUGAGAUGUUAUAUUCAAAUGAAUGUCUUUUUCAAAAAUUUCACCCAUUGAUUGUAGAAAUAUGUCAAUACAUUAAUCGUUAUAAGGACGAUGCUCUUCAACAAUCCGUUGUUUUAUCAAUGAUUCAUUUAAUGUCUGUCUCUCCAAGAUUUUGCGAGGCAAAUGUUCCAUUCGUCAUGAACAUAUUUAAUCUUAGCAAAAAUAAACAGGUUAAAGCAAACAUAAUAAUUGGUCUGGCUGACUUUACAUUUCGCUUUCCAAACGUGAUUGAGCCCUGGACGUCACACUUGUACUCAACCUUACACGAAGAAGACACAGAACUACGACUAACGGCUGUUAAAAUGUUGUCACAUCUAAUAUUGCAUGAAAUGAUUCGAGUGAAAGGACAAAUUUCCGAUCUUGCGAUGUGUUUAGUCGAUCCUGUAGCAGAAAUCAAGGUUAUUACAGAGCAAUUCUUUAAAGAAAUCGCACAGAAAUCCAACAUAUUAUAUAAUGUACUUCCGGAUAUUAUCUCUCGUCUAAGUGAUACAACUGAACAAGUUGAAGAAGGAAAAUAUCAGCUAAUCAUGAAAUUCAUAAUUGCUCUUAUUCAAAAAGAUAAACAGGUUGAAAGUCUCGUAGAAAAACUUUGUCUACGGUUCAAGGUUACACAUCACGAACGCCAGUGGCGUGAUGUUGCUUAUUGCUUAUCCUUACUUUCUUACAAUGAAAAGACCAUUAAGAAACUAAUUGAGCAUAUACCUUGUUUCAAGGACAAAAUCCAAAUAAACGAAAUUUAUGACUCUUUUAAGUUGAUCAUCACAAAUACAGCAAAACAAUUGAAACCAGAACUGAAGGUUAUUGUUCAAGAGCUUGAACGCAAAUUGGAAGAAUGCCUUUCGGUAAAAGAUGAACUACUGGGACAGGAACCUGGCCAAAUAGCAGUUCAGAGUGAGGAUGAGUCGCCAUCAAAAAUGAAAGCAAAAAUUAAACCAAAAACUAAUUUGAAACACGCUCCUGCUAGAACAAAGAAGGGUGGCCGUGCAGGCGGACGUGGCCGCCGAGACGAAUCUUCGAGUGGCAGUGAGGAUAGUGAUUUCGAGAAUAGAGUUCCCCUACGUAAAGGUCGUUUUCGUACUGACCUGGAAACAGAGUGUACUGCUCGUAGCUCAAAGAAAACUAUUGGUGCUACAAAAGUGAUUGCCGAUUCCGACACUUCAGGCAUUAAAAAUAGCACUCUGAGGCCCAGAAGAACCAGAAAACUUAGUGAAACUAAUUAAAUUACACACACAUCGCCAAACUUUAUUAUUUUCAAAUUUUUCCCUAUCUAUUUCUCUUGAUUGCUUUAGCAGAAAGAGAAACCAAAAGCACACGGUACAAUAUGCAAACGGAAGAUUCUGAUGAGCAACCCCAACCUAAAAGGAAAGUCAGAGGAAAACGACAAUAGUUUGCAUGUUGUAAUUUAGUUUAAGGUUUUUUUUUAAAUAAAUUGUAUUUAAAUAAAAUCUUUUAAAUAUUUA